rfam:Aedes aegypti strain Liverpool supercont1.672 genomic scaffold, whole genome shotgun sequence.
CCUCUCAUGGCGUAGUAGUAACGCGCCCCAACUAGAGAUCGGGGAGCCGUGAGUUCGAUUCUCAUUGAGAAAA